UUAUUUAUAGACACAGUCGUUUAUUUUUGGAGUAAAUUAGGAAUGGCCAUCGUCGUGGCCUUUAAUGUCUGCUUCACCCCAAUCCCUUAAAAAUACAACAGAGAGAGAGAGAGAGAUGGUCUGGUUUUGUGCUCGUGUGAGUGUUUUGGGGGGAAGGGUUGUCUGGAUCGAGGCCGCAGUAGAGAGAGAUGACUGUGGCUUCGGACCAGGCUUCGUCCCUCUCAAAUUUCACACGUGCGAAUCAUCCCCCACACCCCAUGUCAACCCUUGUUUUCAACGCCCACAUGUGGAUAUGUGGCGUUGCUUAUGCAGUUGGGUAUGUUGGAUCUCUCUCUCUAAGUAAUUUAGAAUUCUCUUUCUCAAAAAGAAAGAAAAGAAAAAAAAAAAAAAAAGACAAAUAAUGCCGUUUAAUUAACUGUCGACGGCUUUUUUAGCAGAGAAAAAAUAUUGAAUGGCAUUGGCUUGACUUGGGGAUGACCUAUAAAUUUAAAAAAUAAAAAAGGCCUCGACAAAAUCAGAUUUAUUGAAAUGUGGGCAUUUUUCUUUGUUAAUCCCAAGCAUCCAUUACAAGGCAUAAUGACUGAUGGCCAUUGGACCGCUGCACAGGAUGCUCCAUUGAAUUGUGGUAGUACUGGCCCUUCAAUCUUUUUAGGAGAAGUGUUUGGUGGAUCAGCCGACUCACCUGUAGAUGUCCAGUCUCCCUUCAAAAAUCAUCUCAAAUUUUGGGAUUUGUAAACGGCAACCAUGAAGAUAAUUAUGAAUUUCGAUUUUUAAUUAAAAAUAUUUUUUAAUGUAUUUUUCCACCAUCCAUUUUGAAGUAUAGUGAAAGCACCAUUGACGUCCAUCUAUAAGACAGGUACCUGCUGCAUGAGGAGACGCACAUGUUUUGGCGAGCAGGCGAACUCACCAAAACCUUGUCCAUGUGUUUAAUGGAUAAAUAUUUCAUACAAAAAGUAUAACAUGUUCCGUAUGACCACUGUUAGAUGGGGUCUUAAGUGCCAUCACCUUCCAAUAAAUGAAUGGACGAUGAUGGAGAAGUCCACUCCUCUUUCCAUCCAUUGAAAUAUUGGCCAUAGUCUCUCUCUCCAUGAUCGUGUGGAUCAUAAAAUGUUACUCUGCAUCUAAAAAAGAAAUAGUAAUUGUUUGUUGUUUUUAUAAUUUCUAUUGGUAUGUGGUAGCAUGGACUUCAAACCUUUAUAGGUCUCUUUUUAUACAAUGAAACCUACAUUUAGUGCAAAGAGGUUACAAUUAUUUAUAACUAUCCGAUGUGAAAGUUGAUAGCUUGGGUGUGUCGCAAAGUUUGAAAUUUUUUUUUUUUUAACUUUGAAUUUGUUCAAUGAAACAAAUGCAACUACCCAAUUUCAUAUCUAGUGAAGGAGAUUAAUUAUGACCACUUUGUACUAAAAAAUAAACAAUCUCAUAAUAGCCAAAUUAAUCAUAAUUUAUAUGUCAAACCUUCAAAAUGCUUUUGUUUUUUUUCGUUUUUCUUUUAUCUGUAACCACUCAUGAGUCUUUGAAAUAGCCAAAUCAAUCGAUUUUUCGAUAAAUCAACAAAGUACUUUUAAAAUAAAUGUUUCACUCAACACAUCAUCGAUUUUGUCAUGAAUAAGCAAAAUGGCCUUUGGGCCGUUUGGACCAUUCAAGGCUAUUAGAGACCAUGUGAAUGAGCUGAGUUUAUGGCACUUAAAUAUUGCAAUUUAAAGCUGAAGGAACAAUAUCAGAAGGCGACUUUACUUAUUAAAUGAUACAAAGAUCCCCUAAGCAUCCCGAGGAUGUUAAGCACUAUCAAGGAGGAGAAGCGGUUUUACUUGAGGGUAGGGGGAGGAGGGGAGAUUAUCUUUUCAUAUGCUAAUGGCCAGAGGAACCUUGAUGUUGAUGCUCUAGCAAAGGCAGCUAUUGUGUUGUAAUUUUUCUUUUCUUAUUUUUUUUGGGGCUUGCCCCAAGUGUCACUGUGUACUUACUAAAUUUCGUUAGCAAUUCGAAGA